rnacentral:rRNA from 1 species
UUAGCCGUGAAUUUCUGGUUGAUUACCGUCAAAUAAAGGCCAGUUACUACCUCUAUCCUUCUUCACCAACAACAGAGCUUUACGAUCCGAAAACCUUCUUCACUCACGCGGCGUUGCUCCAUCAGACUUGCGUCCAUUGUGGAAGAUUCCCUACUGCUGCCUCCCGUAGG